rnacentral:rRNA from 1 species
ACGGGGCCGCCCCGCGAGGGACGGCGCCGCCCCGGGGCUCGUGAUAUCUCAUCUCGCCGCCCGUCGCGAGGCGGACGGAGGGAUGGAUGAGGUUACCUGGAAAAAAUCGGGGCGAUCUAGGCGGGCGAACCUCGCCAACGAACGAUCGGACAUGGGGAUUAACGGAAGAAGGGCGUCGGCUCGACUUCGUCGGUUCCUCGGGCCGAGGCACGUACGGUGAAUAGGGACGGUCGGGGCCGCCCGUACCGGGUCGUGAGAGGUGAAAUUCUAGGAUCGACCCGAGACGAACCGCCGCGAAAGCAUUCGGCAAGGACGCUUUUCAUUAAUCAAGAACGAAAAUCGGGGGAUCGAAGACGAUCAGAUACCGUCGUAGUCCCGACCGUAAACGAUGCCCUCCCGCGAGAAAUCAGGAGUAUUCGGGUUCCGGG